AGUGAACGCUGGCGGUAGGCCUAACACAUGCAAGUCGAACGGCAGCACAGUAAGAGCUUGCUCUUACGGGUGGCGAGUGGCGGACGGGUGAGGAAUACAUCGGAAUCUACUUUUUCGUGGGGGAUAACGUAGGGAAACUUACGCUAAUACCGCAUACGACCUACGGGUGAAAGCAGGGGAUCUUCGGACCUUGCGCGAUUGAAUGAGCCGAUGUCGGAUUAGCUAGUUGGCGGGGUAAAGGCCCACCAAGGCGACGAUCCGUAGCUGGUCUGAGAGGAUGAUCAGCCACACUGGAGCUGAGACACGGUCCAGACUCCUACGGGAGGCAGCAGUGGGGAAUAUUGGACAAUGGGCGCAAGCCUGAUCCAGCCAUACCGCGUGGGUGAAGAAGGCCUUCGGGUUGUAAGGCCCUUUUGUUGGGAAAGAAAAGCAGCAGGUUAAUACCCCGCUGUUCUGACGGUACCCAAAGAAUAAGCACCGGCUAACUUCGUG
rnacentral:rRNA from 1 species